AUGUCGCUGUCAGGCACCUCCCCUUACACCGCUUUGAACUCGGAGAAGGACAGUCAUGAUGGGCAGCAGCUCCCCAACCAGCAGCAGAAGGAGAUGACCAAGGCUAAGAGGAAUACAACAAAUGCCAAGAAAAGGAAGGAAAUGGCUCCACGAUUCGAUCAGGAUAAGAUUAGAGAUGCUUUGGCUGAAAUGGUAAUUGUGGAUGAGCUUCUGUUUGCAUUUGUUGAGAAGCCAGGAUUUAGAUGGUUUGUGGCAAAGGCUUGUCCUUGUUUCACUGUCCCAUCUAGGAGGACGAUUCUGCAUAAGUGGAUCAUUGGGUUUUUCUUGAACAGGGGCGCGUCCCCACCGCACCCUCUCGUCGGCGACGAGGAGAGGAUAAAGCCGCCACGCCCCGCCUCCUUGAUCCAGCCUCCCACUCGCCCCCACUCUCGCCUCGGUUCCUGCGCCUCUCCCACUCCCCUCCAGAUCCACCUUGCCCUCUCCUUCCCCUCCGCAUCCGAGUGCCGCCGCCGCCAUGGCUCCGGCCUAGCCACAGCCACCGUGCCCACCUCGCCGGCCCCCGGUGUCUCCAAGGGCCGCCGUCGUCCGCUGCUUCGACUGGUGCAACCCGUUGGAGACCGGAGCCACCGCAAUGCCCCCGACGCCGCCGUCUUCCUCCUCUGCUCCGACAAGCUUCAUCGCCGCUCUUCACCAACUCCAGCGACGCCCCUGCAGCUACUAAACCCCCAAGGGCCAUCGUAUGUGCCGCUCGCACCCGAACGCUCCACCGCGGAUCUCGUCGCCGGCGGGACUCCGAUGACCAAGUGGUCACGGGCCAACGUCCGUUGCUUUCGCCUCAUCGCGUACGUCUCGCCUAGCCUCUCCAUUUGCUUGUUGCCGCGCCGCAUCGUCGUUUCCCUCCCGCACCUGAACUGCCGUCCGCCGCGCUCGUCGCUGGCGACUUUUCCGGCCACCUCCGGCCACGCCACCGGUCCUAGUAGACACGGCAUCGACUCCCCGUUCGAACGCAACCCCCCGCGUCAAUUUUGGUGGCCUGUAGCCAAAUCCCGCAGCCUCCCGUGCACUGCUUCUGCAUUUUGCCUCGCCGGCAACCAUUCCGGCCAUCCCCGCCGUCGUGCUCCCCUCCAUCGGACGCGGCGCGAAGAGGCCGUUCCAGAGAGCCUGGCCGCGCCCGAUUUGCGUUGUCCAAAACCGUCAUGGCCUGGUAUCUCUUUUUGCUCAAGGAAACGGACCGGUCCUGCUGAUGUGGCGAUCCAUGUGAGGGCAAACUCGCGUUUUGAUUGGCUGGUCAAGCCAUCCCACGGAUCGCGGAUCCACACCGUCUGCUCCUCUGAGAUCCGACGGCUAGCCAAGCUCCCCCUUUUUCUCGUCCCGCUGGUGCUCCUCCUUCGGUCCUUCGCUCCUCGAUCCUCGCCAUCGUGCACACAUCAUCCCAUACCGUCGCCUCCCCGCUGUGCCCAGCUACUCCACGACCGCCCCCCCUUGCACUGCCACCGCUCCGUCGCAGUGUCUCCCCAGCCGGAUCCCGUCGAGAUCCGCAAGGCCACGGCAAUGGCGGAUCAGGGCGAAGCCAGCCGCAGUGUCUCCCCGGCCGGAUCCCGUCGAGAUCCGCGAGGCCACGGCAAUGGUGGAUCACGGCGAGGCCACGGGCUUCUUCCCUGCCCACACACCGGCCACGGGUGCUCCCACCUACCCCAUCUCCUUCCUCAGAUCCAGCCUCCAGCUCCUUCAAGCACCACCAACCCCUUCCCUCACCUCUUGCCUCCCCUUCCCCUUUCUCUCCCCAUCGGCCAUAUCCAGUCCCUAAAGGCUGACCUUGUGCACGCGGUGUCAGUGCCAUUGAUGCAGGUCGUGCCUGUGUCGAUGCAGCGCGCAAGCGGGUUUGUUCGUGGGGGUGCCAAACCGCGCGGAGGACGACGAGAUCCGACACAUGCUCGUGAUUUCCGUCCAACACCUUGCAUCCAAUGUACAGAAGCGACACCGAAUCGAGCUAAAACGGCAAGGAGCGCCACUCACCAGAGUCAUGCCGUCCACCAUGAAGAGAUGUGCUGUGGAGAAUCUCCAGCAAGAGAUUGGCGGAGAUGGAGUGGGGGCCUGUGGCCUUCGUUACAAAUGUCCUUGUAA
rnacentral:rRNA from 1 species